GUUUGUACCACCACCCGCCAUGAAACAACUGCGAGGACUGGGUUUGGGCCCCCCCCCCCCACCAGGUGUAGCCGGGCUGAGAGGUUGAACGGCCACAUUGGGACUGAGACACGGCCCAAACUCCUACGGGAGGCAGCAGUAGGGAAUUUUCGGCAAUGGAGGAAACUCUGACCGAGCAACGCCGCGUGAACGAUGAAGUAUUUCGGUACGUAAAGUUCUUUUAUUAGGGAAGAAUAAAUGAUGGAAAAAUCAUUCUGACGGUACCUAAUGAAUAAGCCCCGGCUAACUAUGUGCCAGCAGCCGCGGUAAUACAUAGGGGGCAAGCGUUAUCCGGAAUUAUUGGGCGUAAAGGGUGCGUAGGCGGUUAAAUAAGUUUAUGGUCUAAGUGCAAUGCUCAACAUUGUGAUGCUAUAAAAACUGUUUAGCUAGAGUAAGAUAGAGGCAAGUGGAAUUCCAUGUGUAGUGGUAAAAUGCGUAAAUAUAUGGAGGAACACCAGUAGCGAAGGCGGCUUGCUGGGUCUUUACUGACGCUGAGGCACGAAAGCGUGGGGAGCAAACAGGAUUAGAUACCCUGGUAGUCCACGCCGUAAACGAUGAGUACUAAACGUUGGGUAAAACCAGUGUUGAAGUUAACACAUUAAGUACUCCGCCUGAGUAGUACGUACGCAAGUAUGAAACUUAAAGGAAUUGACGGGACUCCGCACAAGCGGUGGAUCAUGUUGUUUAAUUCAAAGGUACCCGAAAAACCUCACCAGGUCUUGACAUGCUUCUGCAAAGCUGUAGAAACACAGUGGAGGUUAUCAGUUGCACACGUUGUGCAUGGUUGUCGUCAGCUCGUGUCGUGAGAUGUUGGGUUAAGUCCCACACCGAGCGCAACCCUUAUUGUUAAUUACCAACAAGUAAUGGUGGGGAAUUUACCAAGACUGCCCGUGAUAAAAUUGGAAGAAGGUGGGGACAACGCCAAAUCAUCAGGCCCCUUAUGACCUGGGCUACAAACGUGAUACAAUGGCUGUUACAAAGGGUAGCUGAAGCGCAAGUUUUUGGGGAAUCUCAAAAAAACAGUCUCAGUUCUGAUGACCGUUCUUAAACGAAUUCUUAGGACGGGGUUUGUACACA
rnacentral:rRNA from 1 species